rnacentral:rRNA from 1 species
UACAGAGGGGGCAAGCGUUGCUCGGAAUUACUGGGCGUAAAGGGCGCGUAGGCGGGAUGGCAAGUCGGUCGUGAAAUCCUUCGGCUCAACCGAGGAACUGCGUCUGAUACUGGAAGGCUUGAAUCCGGGAGAGGUAAGUGGAAUUCCGAGUGUAGAGGUGAAAUUCGUAGAUAUUCGGAAGAACACCAGUGGCGAAGGCGACUUACUGGACACAUAUUGACGCUGAGGUGCGAAAGCGUGGGGAGCAAACAGG